GGUACAAAGGGCAGCCACUCAGCGAUGAGGCGCUAAUCCCAUAAAGCCGGUCUCAGUCUGGAUCGCAGUCUGCAACUCGACUGCGUGAAGUUGGAAUCGCUAGUAAUCGUAGAUCAGCAUGCUACGGUGAAUACGUUCCCGGGCCUU
rnacentral:rRNA from 1 species